rnacentral:sRNA from 1 species
AAUGGUUCACAAGGAAACAUCUGCCUCAGGUGGGCAGAGGAGUCCAUAGAUCAGGGAAACUUAUGUCUUGGUGAAAUGGAAGACCGUGUUCCUCAACGCCUGUGGCCAGGUUACUUGAAUUUCCAUUAGAGGAGCAGAAAUGCCACCAAUGCCAAGUGCCCCACCUGUGCAUCCACCUCCAGAUGGAGGAUGGGGUUGGAUUGUGGUUGGAGCAGCUUUUAUCUCCAUUGGAUUUUCCUAUGCAUUCCCCAAAGCUGUCACCGUAUUCUUCAAAGAAAUUCAGCAAAUAUUCCACACUACCUACAGUGAAAUAGCAUGGAUUUCAUCCAUUAUGCUGGCUGUUAUGUACGCAGGAGCUUACAGCUGCCAUACAUAAUGAUUCCUCUGAUGAAUCUGGGAAAAGGAGAUGGAAAAUCUUCUGGAAAGGAUUUGCCAUUCCAGAUAACAUUACGAUCAUUCACUAUUAUGGGAGAAGGUCAAAAUACCAACACUAACAGGAGUUUGGAAGAAGUUGAUUUCAAUCCUCAUGGGUGACUUUAAGAGGUUC